rnacentral:rRNA from 1 species
GCCUCCCUCUUUCUUCGUGCUUAACACAUGCAGGUCGAACGGAAAGGUCAUGCUUUUGUGGGGUGCUCGAGUGGCGAACGGGUGAGUAACACGUGAGUAACCUGCCCUUGACUUUGGGAUAACUUCAGGAAACUGGGGCUAAUACCGGAUAGGAGCUCCUGCUGCACGGUGGGGGUUGGAAAGAUUCGGCGGUUGGGGAUGGUCUGGCGGCUUCUCCGCUUGAUGGUGGGGUAGUGGCUUACCAAGGCUGUGACGGGUAGCCGGCCUGAGAGGGGGACCGGGCACAUUGGGACUGAGAUACGGCCCAGAAUGCUACGGGAGGCAGCAGUGGGGAAUAUGGCAGAAUGGGCGGAAGCCUGAUGCAGCAACGCCGCGUGCGGGAUGACGGCCUUCGAGUUGUAAACCGCUUUCGCCUGUGACGAAGCGGGAGUGACGGUAAUGGGUAAAGAAGCACCGGCUAACUACGUG